rnacentral:rRNA from 1 species
UACGUAGGGACCGAGCGUUGUCCGGAAUUAUUGGGCGUAAAGGGCUCGUAGGCGGUCCAUCACGUCGGGAGUGAAAAGCUGGGGCUUAACCCCAGUCCUGCUUCCGAUACGGGUGGACUAGAGGUAGGCAGGGGAGAACGGAAUUCCUGGUGUAGCGGUGGAAUGCGCAGAUAUCAGGAGGAACACCAAUAGCGAAGGCAGCUCGCUGGGACGGUACUGACGCUAAGGCGCGAAAGCGUGGGGAGCGAACAGG